ensembl:lncRNA
AGGUCUUCAGCCAGCUGCUCUGUGAACCACCACCCAAAACUCACAGGGCUGCAGAAACAAGAGUGGAGUGCACCUUCCUGUUUUGCAGCAGCGAGAAUCCACUACAGGCAACUUCAAAUCCCGGGUCUAAGCACCAAACUAAACUUGGUAUACUGCAUACUGCAUAGUCAUUGCUGAGGAGUCAAAUGGAGGAGAAACAACUGGGUACAUACAGGUGCUACAAAUGUUCUGGAGGAGAGCCUCAGUGUUACCAAGAAGACACAGUGUCUUCUGCAGCUCCAGUGAAGAUCCCUGCCUGGACACCAGCCCAGCUGCCACUCAUCACCACUACCAAGUCUAAGCUUGCUGGCUUGCUGCUCUUCAGAGAAGCUAAUGACAACCACAUCCUCGGAGCUACUCAUUUCUACACGGCCCCCAAUACUCACUAUUCUUGGUUGGUUUUAUCUAUUUUUUAUAGUACACUACACUUGGGGGGGGGGGGGGGUGGAGGGAAGCAACACUGUUUUAGAGUGUAGAAGUAAUGACUUUUCUUCCAUCUAUUGACAAUUCUUGGUGCUUAUCUUUACUGUAGCUCACAGAGUUGAGUUUGUGUAUGUAUAUGCCUAUUAACUACUAUCUUUUUCUUUUGUCUUUUGGAAACUGAUCUCAUUUCCCAUAAGUGAAUAAGUAAUAUGUCAUAUUUCUCAUUUAAUAUACUUGUGCCCCUGUGGAUACAGAGUGUAGGAUAGAUGACUCUUCCCUAGAGUCAAUUAUUCUGUAUGGAUAAAUGCGUAAUUCUCCCAGGCUAAAUGCCACAGGCAGAAAAAUUCACAACUGUUAUCCCCAGCAGUAGGAAAAAAUCAUGUUUGUUCAUAGUCACGUGGACUUAUAAUAUGAACUUGAUUAAUAUGCUGAAAUGAAAAAUGUUUUGUGUAAUCAGCAAAAUAAUAUUUUUGAUUAUGUUUAACCUUUUCAUGCAUCAAUGAACUGAAGUAGCUGCUAAUGUAAUUUGGUGGUCUCAGAGAUCAAUUACGCUGUUGUAAGAGGCUUUAUGUUUACAUCAAUAACAAGAUUCAGGCUUUUCUGGAAGGAAAAAUAAAUACAUUUCAAUG